UGUUUGUAGGCUAUUUGCAUUAGAUGCAUCGAUCGAUCGAUAUUCUUGUUAUUUAAUAUGCAAUUUACCAAAUGCACUUUCUAGUGAAUGAUGUCUCAUGCCAAAUGUUUGCGUGGGUUGUCAAUGUUAAUGGAUUCUUAAAAACUGAACAAGAUAAGCUUACUCAUACACCGUUCAAUGUUCUUUUUCUUAAUAUUCUUUUCUGAAUACGGCUUCAGGUAUCUCGUUCCUCCUGAUUUGACUGUGUGGCAAUUUGUUUACGUUGUCCGUAAACGGAUUAAGCUUAGUGCUGAGAAAGCUAUAUUUGUCUUUGUGAAGAACACUCUCCCGCCUACUGCUGCCUGCGUUGAUGUCUGCAAUUUACGAGGAAAACAAGGACGAAGAUGGCUUUCUUUAUGACUUACAGUGGAGAAAACACAUUUGGUUCCCCUUUGCUUUUAGCAUAAUGCAAUGCAAACAUAUUAUGUAUAUAGCUAAAAGAAAAAGGUGUAAAUUCUGUAUGUUGACUACUUGAGCCAAUGUUCUGCGCUUGACAAUUACAGUUCUUUAACUGUCUGAACUUGGAUCUUUACUUUCUAUAAAUUGAAUGUCCGAAACCAUCUUUGAUUUCCAAUUA